rnacentral:rRNA from 1 species
AGAGUUUGAUCCUGGCUCAGGAUGAACGCUGGCGGCGUGCUUAACACAUGCAAGUCGAACGAACCUUCGGGUUAGUGGCGGACGGGUGAGUAACGCGUGGGAAUCUGCCCUCAGGAGGGGGAUAACGGUUGGAAACGACCGCUAAUACCCCAUAUGCCGAGAGGUGAAAUGAAUUUCGCCUGAGGAUGAGCCCGCGUCUGAUUAGCUAGUUGGUGUGGUAAUGGCUCACCAAGGCUUCGAUCAGUAGCUGGUCUGAGAGGAUGAUCAGCCACACUGGGACUGAGACACGGCCCAGACUCCUACGGGAGGCAGCAGUGGGGAAUUUUCCGCAAUGGGCGAAAGCCUGACGGAGCAACGCCGCGUGAGGGAUGAAGGCCUCUGGGCUGUAAACCUCUUUUCUCAAGGAAGAAGAUCUGACGGUACUUGAGGAAUAAGCCACGGCUAAUUCCGUGCCAGCAGCCGCGGUAAUACGGGAGUGGCAAGCGUUAUCCGGAAUUAUUGGGCGUAAAGCGUCCGCAGGCGGCCUUUCAAGUCUGCUGUUAAAACGUGGAGCUUAACUCCAUCAUGGCAGUGGAAACUGUUGGGCUUGAGUGUGGUAGGGGCAGAGGGAAUUCCCGGUGUAGCGGUGAAAUGCGUAGAUAUCGGGAAGAACACCAGUGGCGAAGGCGCUCUGCUGGGCCAUAACUGACGCUCAUGGACGAAAGCCAGGGGAGCGAAAGGGAUUAGAUACCCCUGUAGUCCUGGCCGUAAACGAUGAACACUAGGUGUCGGGGGAAUCGACCCCCUCGGUGUCGUAGCCAACGCGUUAAGUGUUCCGCCUGGGGAGUACGCACGCAAGUGUGAAACUCAAAGGAAUUGACGGGGGCCCGCACAAGCGGUGGAGUAUGUGGUUUAAUUCGAUGCAACGCGAAGAACCUUACCAGGGUUUGACAUCCUGCGAAUCUCUUGGAAACGAGAGAGUGCCUUCUGGAACGCAGUGACAGGUGGUGCAUGGCUGUCGUCAGCUCGUGUCGUGAGAUGUUGGGUUAAGUCCCGCAACGAGCGCAACCCACGUCUUUAGUUGCCAGCAUUUAGUUGGGCACUCUAGAGAGACCGCCGGUGAUAAACCGGAGGAAGGUGUGGAUGACGUCAAGUCAUCAUGCCCCUUACAUCCUGGGCUACACACGUACUACAAUGCUACGGACAAAGGGCAGCAAGUUCGCGAGGACAAGCAAAUCCCAUAAACCGUGGCUCAGUUCAGAUCGUAGGCUGCAACUCGCCUACGUGAAGGAGGAAUCGCUAGUAAUCGCAGGUCAGCAUACUGCGGUGAAUACGUUCCCGGGCCUUGUACACACCGCCCGUCACACCAUGGAAGUUGGCCACGCCCGAAGCCGUUACUCCAACCCUUGUGGAGGAGGACGUCGAAGGUGGGGCUGAUGACUGGGGUGAAGUCGUAACAAGGUAGCCGUACCGGAAGGUGCGGCUG